UAGAGUAACGCGUGAGCAACCUGCCUAUGACAGUGGGAUAGCCUCGGGAAACCGGGAUUAAUACCGCAUAAAAUCGUAGAAACACAUGUUUUAACGGUCAAAGAUUUAUCGGUCAUAGAUGGGCUCGCGUCUGAUUAGCUAGUUGGUGAGAUAACAGCCCACCAAGGCGACGAUCAGUAGCCGGUCUGAGAGGAUGAACGGCCACAUUGGAACUGAGACACGGUCCAA
rnacentral:rRNA from 1 species